GAGGCAGAGACACAGGCAGAGGGAGAAGCAGGCUCCAUGCAGGGAGCCCGAUGCGGGACUCGAUCCCAGGACUCCAGAAUCACGCUCUGGGUCAAAGGCAGGCGCCAAACCGCUGAGCCACCCAGGGAUCCCCUACCCUUGUUUCUAUAUAGUCACAGCCUUUGAAUUACCAAACAUAUAUCCAAUGUUAUCUUACUUGAAGAAUUCCUUGGACCCAAAUAACUUCUCUCUGGAGACCUAGAUAGCAUGACACAGUGAGUUGUUCUGUGGCAUGAUCAGGAGAAAGGCAAACCACCUAUUUAAAAAAGGAGAACGUUGACAUCUAACUUUCAAAAUUAGAAAAGCUGCCUCUCUUCCCUUCCCCACCCAAUUGAUCACUCUUUUCAUCUUUUGUUUUUCAGGAUCCAGUGUGGCCUGUGGUUGUCCAGACUGAGUUCACUUCCAAAAGAUUUCCUUCAACAGAUGUUGUCAAAGAGAUAAGACACGAGAAGCGUUUCUAUUUAAAUUCAUUUCCUAUUAUUUCAACAUAAAUACCAAACAGCUCGACAAGAAUGUGAGAAGAUGGAGAUUGAGUUCCUUUAUGAUUGCUGCAUGGCAGUAAGUAAGGACCCAGGGGGAUGGCAUUUCCUUUCUGAGGACAUCAGCUCUGGCUCUGUAGCACCUCCUGGUGUGAGGAGGGCUGAUAGGCCAGCGCAACACAAGAGUGCCGCCUACUGAAGGACUGGUUUUGUUUGAUUAAGGACCAAGAUUAUCCUCAGUUAUCUGAAAGAAACCAACCACCUGGUUCAAGCAAGUCUCAUUUAUGAAGUAUUAGAUCAAAUGGAUAGUUGCUGGGCUGGUUGGUGACACUGAUUGAAAACAUGCCAUGUUUGUCAUACUUACUUGAACAAUGUGUAAAUUACAUGGCAAUAAUCAUUUAUAAAGAUGAGAGAACAGAGAAUGUUUCAUGUAUACUUUUAGGGCUCUUACUGUAAAAUAUUAAUUAUUUUAUUGCAUUCUCAAAGUAUGACUGGCAAUGCCAGAAAUAUUAUUUGUUUCUUUACAUUUCCUGUAAAGAUAUCAAUAUCAAUCCUACAGGUCUUCAAAAGUUCAGCUAAACUACCAGCUCCUCCUUAAAUAUUUCAUAAUUUUUUUCUCAGAAAACAAGGCAGUCUAUGUUUCUAAAACUCUCAUAUAUACAAUCAUGUUUAACAUACCUUUACUGAGCAUGCACUAAUGAGACAAGUACUGCUUAGGCCCCGGGGGAUUCAGACACAACAAGUACACAUUCCUCGACUUUCAAGGAAGUCACAAUCUAGUGCGUGGGUGGGUGGGGCUUGUAGAGAUGACAUACACAGUAAAUUGCAGAGUGAAAUAAUUAUUAGAAGUAUAUGUAGGGUGUCCUAGAAAUUUAGAGGAAAGAACUAUCUCAUUGUGGUAGAAGGGAAGAGGGAAAGAGAUUCAGGGAAAAUGUAAAAGAGAUAGUGCCUGAAUUAAAUCUGAAAGAAUAAAUAAUGCUAGCAAGCAGAUGGGGUGAGAUAGAGAGGGAAAAAUCCCAGACAGAGAGAUAGACAGGGAAAGUGGCCUUUACAAAAACAGAGAGAGUAAGAAGCACAUUCCCAGAUAAGAGAUGUACACAGUGUUGGUGAAAAGCUGGGGUCACAUGGGUCUGGGUUUAGUCCCAGCUCUAGUGUUUAUUAACUACAUAACCUUUGGGCAAGUCAUUUAAUUUCCUAUGUGCCUUGUGUUUGCCACUUGUCACAUGGGGCAAGUAACAUGCUAACUGGCAUUUAAUUGGUAGAACCCAUUUUUGGGGGGAUUUUGUGGUAAAUUAUAUCAAAAAUUCAAAGCUGAGAGCUAUGGAAAUGAAAAUGAUUAUGUAGAAGUCUAACAACAAAAUGAAAUUUUGUUUGAUGACUGCUAAUGUUUUAAAAAUUUACAUGUUUUAAAUUUAAAAUGUGGUUUGUAGUCUUUUGGAGUAAGUCAUUUCUAAGAAGUAAGUGUAUGUUUGUCUUUUGCUAUAGCUACAUUGAAAUGAUGGGGAAAAAAUAAAAAAAGAAAUCAAAGGAUUUGUUUUCCAUAUGUCCCAAUAAUAGCCAGCAAUUUUUAAAAUAAGUUUAGUAAAAGUUAGAACAAUGCAGUUCCCUCAUCCUUUGCUGAGAGGAAGCCUACUUGAUUAAUGUAAUUAAAGGGUUGCUUGUAACUCAAGACUCAAUUAAAAAAAUAAAUUUGGCCUUAUUACUUUACUUCCAACUGGUGGUUUUCCUAGUGUGAUUUUUGAGCUAAAAUCUGCGGCUGCUUUGUUCAUGACACAUGAA